rnacentral:rRNA from 1 species
CCUANGGGUGGCAGCAGUGGGGAAUAUUGGGCAAUGGGGGAAACCCUGACCCAGCAACGCCGCGUGAAGGAUGAAGGCCUUCGGGUUGUAAACUUCUUUGACCGGGGACGAAACAAAUGACGGUACCCGGAAAACAAGCCACGGCUAACUACGUGCCAGCAGCCGCGGUAAUACGUAGGUGGCAAGCGUUGUCCGGAAUUACUGGGUGUAAAGGGCGUGUAGGCGGAUCUGCAAGUCGGAUGUGAAAUUCCCGGGCUCAACCCGGGCGCUGCAACCGAAACUGCGGAUCUUGAGUGUCGGAGAGGAAAGCGGAAUUCCCAGUGUAGCGGUAAAAUGCGUAGAGAUUGGGAGGAACACCGGUGGCGAAGGCGGCUUUCUGGACGACAACUGACGCUGAGGCGCGAAAGCGUGGGGAGCAAACAGGAUUAGAUACCCCUNUANUC